rnacentral:rRNA from 1 species
UACGGAGGAUCCAAGCGUUAUCCGGAUUUAUUGGGUUUAAAGGGUGCGUAGGUGGAUUUUUAAGUCAGGGGUGAAAGACGGUAGCUUAACUAUCGCAGUGCCUUUGAUACUGAAGAGCUUGAAUACACUAGAGGUAGGCGGAAUGUGACAAGUAGCGGUGAAAUGCAUAGAUAUGUCACAGAACACCAAUUGCGAAGGCAGCUUACUAUGGUGCAAUUGACACUGAGGCACGAAAGCGUGGGGAUCAAACAGG